rnacentral:lncRNA from 1 species
AAUACAUUGAUAGAAUAACUAGUAACCAUAACAUUAAACAAAUGCAGAGGUGCUUACUGAAUUAAAAUAUAAAGUCCCAGACUGAUAGAUGUUUUUCCUUCUUUUAAGUUUCUCAAUAAAUAUUUUUUUUGCCAUGUGAUAAAUAAAUUAAUACUACAGAAGUGAGCUUUCACCUUUGUUUUCUUAGGAAGUAAAGCUUUGCUUACAAUACCUAAAGGGACUAAUGCAGGUCUCAACUAGAAAAAGCCUGUUUUUUUACGACAUACCUACCCCCAAUAUUAUGAUAAUGAACCACGUGAUAACAAGAGCACUGAAAUACCUUUCAGAAGAAGAGGAAUAACAACACAGCUAGACAGUACUUAAUAGAAACAAUAACUAGACAGAGAAACUUAGCUACAGUGACUCCAUUGCUUCCCUAGGCACCCCCCUCUAAGACCAGAUUCCUCUUUCUGAGAAGGAAUUUCUUCUAACUUCUAACCACAACCUCUCUCCCUGGAGCUAUUACAGCUUUAAGUAGAAAUGUGGUAAUCAGGUUAAUUGUUCAAAGAACACAAUUAACUGAAAUUGGUGACACAUUGCUGCCAACAAAUAACCUCAGGUAACUGCUAUCUCAAUUUUUUGGCUUCUUAGGUGGACUUGAUCUCUGCGUUGAAACAAAGUUUGACUCCUAGCAAGCUGAAGAAAGAACUCUAGGGUUGGUUUUGAAGGUGUCUACAUGCAAGUGUUAAAAAUGAUUCAUUUUUAGAAGCUAUACAUGAAAAUCAAGUCAAGAGUGGAACUGAAGAGUUGAAAGCAAUUUUUUAUGUGGUUCAGAUCCUGGAUCUGGAGGUGGGGCAAUGAAAUGUGGAAAACAACUCAGAACGUUGACUUUGAACUCAAGAACUGCUGCUUGAUGGAGAAGGUCAACUUAGAGCAGCAGCAUUCAACCUUCUUCAGUUUAAAGACAGGUAAGAGCCUCUGACUCCUCUUCUGCGAGAACAUGUGCUCCUGUGCCUCUCAGCAGCUCCAGCAAUCAAAGUGCUUUGGUAGUUGCCAAUAUAUAUGUAAUUGAAGAGGCAGCUAGUAGGUCAUCCCAGCACCUUCAGACCUCCGAAAAUACCUAAGUAGGUGGGGAUCUCUCUUAUUUAUAAUAACUAUUUCAAUUCAGUUUUAGCUGCCUUUGUUCCUUGUUAAGUUAAUCCUGAGCUUUACUAUUGUUAUUUUUAUUUUAUUGUCUUUUCUAUUAUUAUUAUUUUCUGGACAAGAUAGUUUUC